UAUCCGGAUUUACUGGGUGUAAAGGGAGCGUAGACGGUUUUGCAAGUCUGAAGUGAAAGCCCGGGGCUUAACCCCGGGACUGCUUUGGAAACUGUAGAACUAGAGUGCAGGAGAGGUAAGUGGAAUUCCUAGUGUAGCGGUGAAAUGCGUAGAUAUUAGGAGGAACACCAGUGGCGAAGGCGGCUUACUGGACUGUAACUGACGUUGAGGCUCGAAAGCGUGGGGAGCAAACAGGAUUAGAUACCCUGGUAGUCCACGCCGUAAACGAUGAUUACUAGGUGUUGGUGGGUACGACCCAUCGGUGCCGCAGCAAACGCAAUAAGUACUCCACCUGGGGAGUACAUUCGGCAAGAAUGAAACUCAAAGGAAUUGCACGGGGACCCGC
rnacentral:rRNA from 1 species